CGGCGGCCGGUCACAGCCAGGUGGGGCUGUGGGAGCAGGGCCGCUUUAGGAAGUGCGGGGGCCUGGCAGGGAUGACUUAAAAACAAGAACUACCAAUGCUAAAAGGUCAUUUGCUGCCCUCGAAGAGCCAGUGUUUCUGGGAAUGAUGGUCUAGCGAUUACUAAAUCAGCAUUGUUUGGCACAGAAAUGUCGUUCUGGGGAAUGGAACAUUGGAAGCAAUGACAUGAAUGAAGUAGAUUGAGCCCUGUGGCUGACAGCAUGCUCCGCCUGUGUUGUAUUAUCAUCUAUGUGUUCACCCAGGAAAUAGAUGAGCUGUUUUCCCAUUUAGUUUUAUGUCUAUUUGAAGCUAUUACUGUAGCAUUGUUGAUACGUGAAGUGAAACACUUGAUCAGCACACUUU